rnacentral:rRNA from 1 species
AACAAACGCUGGCGGCGUGCCUAAUACAUGCAAGUCGAACGGGGAAAGCUUUCGGGUGAGUACUAGUGGCGCACGGGUGAGGAACGCGUGGAUAAUCUGCCUUAGAGUGGGGGAUAACUAGUCGAAAGAUUAGCUAAUACCGCAUAAGACCACAGGAGCUGCGGCUCAAGGGGUCAAAGGUUUUUCGCUCUAAGAUGAGUCCGCGUAAGAUUAGCUAGUUGGUGAGGUAGCGGCUCACCAAGGCGACGAUCUUUAACUGGUCUGAGAGGAUGAUCAGUCACACUGGAACUGAGACACGGUCCAGACUCCUACGGGAGGCAGCAGUAGGGAAUAUUGCACAAUGGAGGAAACUCUGAUGCAGCGACGCCGCGUGAGUGAUGAAGGCCUUCGGGUCGUAAAGCUCUGUCGCAGGGGAAUAACACAAUGAAUGUACCCUGUAAGAAAGGAUCGGCUAACUUCGUGCCAGCAGCCGCCGUAAGAC